CUGGCGGCGUGCUUAACACAUGCAAGUCGAACGGAAAGGCCCAGCUUGCUGGGUACUCGAGUGGCGAACGGGUGAGUAACACGUGGGUGAUCUGCCCCAAACUUCGGGAUAAGCCUGGGAAACUGGGUCUAAUACCGGAUAUGACCUGCUCCUGCAUGGGGGUUGGUGGAAAGCUUUUGCGGUUUGGGAUGGGCCCGCGGCCUAUCAGCUUGUUGGUGGGGUAAUGGCCUACCAAGGCGACGACGGGUAGCCGACCUGAGAGGGUGAUCGGCCACACUGGGACUGAGACACGGCCCAGACUCCUACGGGAGGCAGCAGUGGGGAAUAUUGCAUAAUGGGCGCAAGCCUGAUGCAGCGACGCCGCGUGAGGGAUGACGGCCUUCGGGUUGUAAACCUCUUUCGCCAGGGACGAAGCGCAAGUGACGGUACCUGGAGAAGAAGCACCGGCCAACUACGUG
rnacentral:rRNA from 1 species